rnacentral:rRNA from 1 species
CAGUCGCCGCGGUAAUACGUAGGUGGCAAGCGUUGUUCGGAAUUAUUGGGCGUAAAGGGCUCGCAGGCGGUUUCUUAAGUCUGAUGUGAAAGCCCCCGGCUCAACCGGGGAGGGUCAUUGGAAACUGGGAAACUUGAGUGCAGAAGAGGAGAAUGGAAUUCCACGUGUAGCGGUGAAAUGCGUAGAGAUGUGGAGGAACACCAAUGGCGAAGGCGACUCUCUGGUCUGUAACUGACGCUGAGGAGCGAAAGCGUGGGGAGCGAACAGGAUUAGAUACCCCGGUAGUCCCUGUCUCUUAUAC